UGGGGAAUUUUGGACAAUGGGCGAAAGCCUGAUCCAGCAAUGCCGCGUGUGUGAAGAAGGCCUUCGGGUUGUAAAGCACUUUUGUCCGGAAAGAAAUCCUUGGCUCUAAUACAGUCGGGGGAUGACGGUACCGGAAGAAUAAGCACCGGCUAACUACGUGCCAGCAGCCGCGGUAAUACGUAGGGUGCAAGCGUUAAUCGGAAUUACUGGGCGUAAAGCGUGCGCAGGCGGUUUGCUAAGACCGAUGUGAAAUCCCCGGGCUCAACCUGGGAACUGCAUUGGUGACUGGCAGGCUAGAGUAUGGCAGAGGGGGGUAGAAUUCCACGUGUAGCAGUGAAAUGCGUAGAGAUGUGGAGGAAUACCGAUGGCGAAGGCAGCCCCCUGGGCCAAUACUGACGCUCAUGCACGAAAGCGUGGGGAGCAAACAGGAUUAGAUACCCUGGUAGUCCAGCGCCCUAAACGAUGUCAACUAGUUGUUGGGGAUUCAUUCCUUAGUAACGUAGCUAACGCGUGAAGUUGACCGCCUGGGGAGUAC
rnacentral:rRNA from 1 species